AUUGAACGCUGGCGGCAUGCCUAACACAUGCAAGUCGAGCGAGCGGCGGACGGGUGAGUAAUGUAUGGGGACUGCCCGAUAGAGGGGGAUAACUCCUGGAAACGGUAGCUACUACCGCAUCCUAUCGGAUAACCCAUAUGGGAUUAGCUCGUAGGUGAGGUAAUGGCUCACCUAGGCGAAGAUCCCUCGCGGGUCUGAGAGGAUGAUGAGCCACACUGGGACUGAGACACGGCCCAGACUCCUACGGAGGCAGCAGUGGGGAAUAUUGCACAAUGGGCGCAAGCCUGAGACAGCCAGGCCGCGUGUAUGAAGAAGGCCCUAGGGUUGUAAAGUACUUUCAGUCGGGAGGCGUUACCGGCAGAAGAAGCACCGGCUAACUCCGUGCCAGCAGCCGCGGUAAUUC
rnacentral:rRNA from 1 species